rnacentral:rRNA from 1 species
GGAAUAUUGCGCAAUGGGCGAAAGCCUGACGCAGCAACGCCGCGUGGGUGUUGAAGGUCUUCGGAUCGUAAAGCCCUGUCAGUGGGAAAGAGGGCUUCGGCGGCUACUAUCUGUCGAGGUUGACGGUACCCGCAAAGGAAGCACCGGCUAACUCUGUGCCAGCAGCCGCGGUAAGACAGAGGGUGCAAGCGUUGUUCGGCAUCAUUGGGCGUAAAGCGCUCGUAGGCGGCACAGCAAGUCGAAUGUGAAAGCCCAGGGCUCAACCCUGGAAGUGCAUUCGAAACUGCUGCGCUUGAGUCCUGGAGAGGGUGGUGGAAUUCCCAGUGUAGAGGUGAAAUUCGUAGAUAUUGGGAGGAACACCGGUGGUGAAGGCGACCACCUGGACAGUGACUGACGCUGAGGAGCGAGAGCGUGGGGAGCAAA